GGCAGAGGCGAUAGCGCGUUGAAUGCACCAGUUCUCAAUGGAUCACCGAAGUUAAGCAACUUUGCUCUUGUUUGGUAUCCGGAUGAAUGACCAAUUGACCAUCUCGACAAUUACGUGCUGAUGGCU
rnacentral:rRNA from 1 species